GCAUUUUGUACUGACCACUUAUUACAUGUAUAUCACCUUAAUUAGAACCUUUGAAGGUCUAAUUGAAAAGCUGCAAUUUUAUGUCCAAUGAGUGUAUUCCCUUAAAAAAGCCACAAAGAAACACAGAAGUUUUCUAUGUAUAAACUUAACAGUUUUAAAUUAAUAUAUUGACUUGUGCACCAUAAAAGUUUCACGAACACCAAUUCAAAUGACAGUUUUGCUCUUAGCUUUUAUGACAACCCUGCAACAACUUCCAAUAUUAUGCAACUUUUACCAUGAUUGCAAUUUAUGUGAUCGUUACAGUACCUCUGAGAGUUCAGCUACAGGUAUUAUUGAUUCAUACUUCCUGCACGUCAGGCUUUGUAUGGACACAACCACAUUCUUUUUCAAGUAAAAUUCCUUGUUUUGAAUAGCAAUCUUUCCUAUUUUGAAUUAUCAGACGGUGUAGACACUGUCAAGCUUAUAAAUUAUUUUUUGUAGCGUAAACCUAAGUCAUCUUUAAUUCUUAGAGCAUGGGUUAUUAACAACUUUGAUAUUAUAAAUUAUAGAUGUGCUGUGAUCAAUCAUAUUCAUUUUACUAGUUAAAAAUUAUUAUUAUUCAAGCUGAUCACUUGUUUCUUAUUUUCUUUUCUUUUAGAUUGUGCAAAUUAAUGUGAACAAUGGAUGAUAAUGCUUUGCUUGGCCGGCACAAAGAAUAAUUUUCAUGUAUGGCACAGCAGUGUAUCUGACUUUGUGGUGUACAUAAGUCCUUUUGAUAUGCUUGCGUCUUGCCGGUAACUUUCAACUGAAUGUUCCCAAAUGAGUAUUUAAGUGAAAGAGGACAGCAGAAAUGGGGUUCCAUUAGGAUGAUUUGCAAGUGAGUGGGAAGUUUUUUUUAAAAUUUUAAUUACUUGCUACUUACACUGCUUACAAUGCAAUAUUAAUGUAGUUACUUACACUACUUACAAAAAACUUAUUGCUUACGCCACUUACGAUACUAACACUUACUCUAUACAAUACGCAUACUCACGCUACUAACAAUACUAAUACUUACACUGCUUACAAUACAACGUAAUUAGAUUACUUGCGCUACUUACAAUUCUAGCACAGCAAGAUCAUACCAGUUUACUCCUGUCAGUAAUGUAAAUUCCGAAUUGCGAAUUACAGAAAAUAGGCAUGGUGUAUAUGCGCCUUGUUUCUUUUCCUUUCAUUUUUAUUUUCGUUUUCAUUUUCAGGGGACUAGGGUCAAGUUGUCAAGAGAUUACAAAAGAGGCAACAGAGGCUCCCACUUUUUUAAAACGAUUGUAGUUGUAUUUUUUUCCAUUUCAUAGAUAUGGUUUAAAUACAGUAAGAAAUCAUUUAGUUUUGGAGAACAUUUUUUCUGUCUACAUAGCCAAAUGUAAUAUUUAGUAUUUAAGCAGCAGAAGUUAAUGUGGAGUUUUUGUUUGGAGCUGUGAGUAGGAAGUUGUGUUAUUACGGUAAACCAUAGAAUUUAUUUUCGCCAUUCAUGUUCGCGAGACAGCCAUUUCGAAUUAAAUUUUAAUUCUAAAUUUCACUGAAAUACUCAUUUGGGAACAUUCAGUUGAAAGUUACCGACAAGAUGCAAACAUAUCAAAAGGUCUGAAAACAAAAACGUUGAUUAAUGCCUGGUAUACUGAAUUAUCUUGGAACAUUAAUGGCUGCACAUGGCGGUGCAAUCUGAGAGUUUAAACAAACAAUUUCACUGAAAACCAAAUACAGUGCUUCUCUUUUAACAACGGCUACUACAUGCUAACGUCGUGCAACGUUAAUUAUCCAAAUUUACAGUAAGGGAGCUAAUCCUCCAAUGUUCUUAGAGUAGCAAUUCGUUUAAGAAAACUCGUCUUCGAGAACGAAAAAAAGUAGCCUAGAAGAACUUGCUCCUAUCCUCAACUCAGAAUAUUACAGAGACUGAAAUAUGUAUCAGACAGUGGAGUAAGGUAGUACAACAUUCCGCGGUUUUGCUAAAAUAUAUGUCACUGCUUGGGUCAAAUCUUGCUUCUUUCUAGUUAAAAAACCGAUUACCGUCAGUUAAAAAAA
rnacentral:lncRNA from 1 species